ACCAGUUAACGGGAAGCGCAGCUCUCCGACUAUAUCUCAGCAAUCGAUGGGGAAGGUGAAUCCAGAGACUCCUGGAUGGACAAAAAGGGUAACGAUUGGUGUGGCUGCGUAAAGGAGGACACCUUGUCCUAAUCGCCCAAGUUCGUUGGAGAAAGCAAUUCGUGGGUUCGCUGAGAAUCCAGGGGAAAAUGUGAUUGUACUGAAACUGGGUAUAAGAUUUGAUCUUUAGGUGAAGCAUAUAACUUGUACUCCUGCGGGAAGGGGUUUGGUAUUACAUAUUGAAAAAGCAGACUAAAUGUUUAAAGGACAAAAUGCAGGCAGGAAAUCAUUUGCAGCUGUGCGGGAAGGCUGGCGUUGAGAACAGUCGGUCAUGCCAUUGUGAGUGUUGGGCUCUUAUACGAUUGUUGCGAUCGAAAGGCAAUGGUUGGUGCAUAUCAGAGCAUCGGGAGCAACACAUCCAAUCUUUGUCUCCUAAUUGCGGAGAGACAAUACCCUGCCUUCACAGAAACACAUCGACGUUUACAACCGAGACUGGUGAAGCAGCUACGGCAAAAUAACGUCAAUCUAGCCAAGGUAUACAACAUCAUAGAGAGUUUUUUCACCAAGCGAGCUCUCCAUAAUUUGUGUGGGGAAAUAAACCAUGAGCAGGCAUAGGACGAUGUGAGCAAAACUAUGUAGGUUUUCACUGAACUGGGUGCAAAGGAUCGACAUUUCACGUAUCUUGUGCAGGCUGAUAAGGAAGGGUGAAUCAGUAAAAUUUGGGUGAAUGGGAGCAGUAGAUUGCAGUAAAAUUUUGAGGAUAACACAAAAAAAUCAAAAUUUUAACAACAAGGGCAGGAGGUUUGCCCAAGCUGUGUAGUGUAUAAGCAGGGGGGUGAGGGGUAGGUGAGGGGCACACUCUGAUUUCAGUCAUCCACGUGAAGCUGUAGUUGGAAUAAGAUCAAGUUUCAGUGGGAGGUGAAAUAGAGUGAAUGGCUCUGACCGACUUAUCUAGCGCCUCCUCUGUGGCUACGGGUUUCAAAAUAUACUGAACUGAUUAUAGAUGAUUCUGAUUAACAGCUGUAAGUUCAGAGCAUUAGCUCAGUUCC